GCUGAUAGCUGAAGAAAUAUCUUUGUUAGCCAGUGUUAUUUUCGCUGUGAAAAUUAUUUAUCGCCGUUGCGGUUCCGUUUGUGGCAGUGGCACGUUAUCGCCGAGCCGUGCCCAGUGAGUAAUCCAAGAGUGAUAGCACCAAGUGGCUUGUGAGCGGUAUUUGCUUACCACCAGCCGGAUAAAUAAUGAACGGAUUCCACCCAGGAUUGGCAGCACCCGGCAAUGAGCGCAGCAUCCGCAGAGCAACAAUUGUACGCUGAGCUGGAGCUGAAGCAACAGCUUGAGCAUGAGAGUUCCGAGAGAGCAAGGGAUGAAGUCGAGGUCGAGUUUUGGUAGCAAGCUGGGCAGGCAAGGGCAUGGGCGAGAUGGAGGAGGAGGAGGAGAGAGGCACAGAGGACUGUGUGGACUGUGCGGAUUAACAAUGGUAGCCACUCGCUCUGCUCGCGCGCCGUUCGGCAUUCGGCAUUCGCCAUUCGGCAUCUAUCAUCCCAUUUGGCUGCACUGCUGCUGGUGCGGAUAUUUAACAAUGCGAACAAGCACAAACACAACGGCUGCACACACACGCGCGCUGGCAAAUAUUCAAUUUGCCACUGCUGCAAUCAACUUUAUUGCCCGCUGUUGCUCUUGUUUACUCGUUGUUGUCUCCCGCUUGGUCAUCUAAAAAAUAAGCUUUAAGAACGAACUCGUAUUUAUCAAUCGCACCAACACAGCCAUCCGUGUUUUCGCUCUCCCUUUCCCUUUACAGCAGAACACCACAGCAUGCCGCUUUGUCUGAUUCUGAUUCGGACUUAUCAGUAUGCGUUCUCGGCGCUGAUGAAUCUGCAAUUGAGUCGAACGCGGUCCACAGCUUAAAUUAAAUCCAUUACUGCCAUGUAAUCGGUGGCACACAAAUAUUUUCGGAUAGGCAACAGCAUGUCACGGGCGUGUCAGAUUGGGAUAAGAUCAGCUGGAUGGGGCGACUUCGGUUCCGUUAAGGGACGUGGAAUAUUUCCUAUUAUUUUACGUGCCGCUUUCGGUCCUUCCCCAGCUCUGUGGACCACCAGCCAAGGACCAAGCACAUAGUUACAGGAGCAAGGCCGCUACAAUAUUGUAAUUUGGCUGGCAGCCCGCAAAGCCAAGCAAAGAAAACAAAGAAAUCAGGGAAAAAUCAACUUUGUGCAAAUAAAUGCAAAAUAAUAUUACGAAAAGUUGACCGUAAAAAGAUGCCCAGUCCCAGGCCCAGUCGAGCAGGAGACGAGAAGUCGGUGCACUCAAAGUGCCUACUCCUGCCGCUCCGGCUGCUCCUUGUGCCUCCAAAAAGGCGCACUUAAUUUAAAAAUAGAAUUUUGCCCUCUUGGCGAGGAGGGCCAACCGUUUUUCCGCUUGCAUUUUGCCCUUUACUUGGCCAUUGAUUGCGAUUCCAUUUCGCCCAUUGGCUUGAGCUCCUAGCCGAGCCGUUUUUUACAUUCGAAUAUUAUUAUUUAAUGUGCAAUUUGGAGAGUAUGCUAAUGUUGAUCCCAUUCCUGUGGCUCUAAGUUGGAAAUAUGUUCACUGAUUUUUUGUGAAUAAAUUUUAUUAUUCCAUA